rnacentral:rRNA from 1 species
ACUCCUACGGGAGUCAGCAGUAGGGAAUCUUCCACAAUGGGCGCAAGCCUGAUGGAGCAACACCGCGUGAGUGAAGAAGGGUUUCGGCUCGUAAAGCUCUGUUGUUAAAGAAGAACACGUAUGAGAGUAACUGUUCAUACGUUGACGGUAUUUAACCAGAAAGUCACGGCUAACUACGUGCCAGCAGCCGCGGUAAUACGUAGGUGGCAAGCGUUAUCCGGAUUUAUUGGGCGUAAAGAGAGUGCAGGCGGUUUUCUAAGUCUGAUGUGAAAGCCUUCGGCUUAACCGGAGAAGUGCAUCGGAAACUGGAUAACUUGAGUGCAGAAGAGGUAGUGGAACUCCAUGUGUAGCGGUGGAAUGCGUAGAUAUAUGGAAGAACACCAGUGGCGAAGGCGGCUACCUGGUCUGCAACUGACGCUGAGACUCGAAAGCAUGGUAGCGAACAGGAUUAGAUACCCCUGGUAGGUCAGUC